rnacentral:rRNA from 1 species
GAGUGGCGGACGGGUGAGUAACACGUGGGUAACCUGCCCUUAAGUGGGGGAUAACAUUUGGAAACAGAUGCUAAUACCGCAUAGAUCCAAGAACCGCAUGGUUCUUGGCUGAAAGAUGGCGUAAGCUAUCGCUUUUGGAUGGACCCGCGGCGUAUUAGCUAGUUGGUGAGGUAAUGGCUCACCAAGGCGAUGAUACGUAGCCGAACUGAGAGGUUGAUCGGCCACAUUGGGACUGAGACACGGCCCAAACUCCUACGGGAGGCAGCAGUAGGGAAUCUUCCACAAUGGACGCAAGUCUGAUGGAGCAACGCCGCGUGAGUGAAGAAGGCUUUCGGGUCGUAAAACUCUGUUGUUGGAGAAGAAUGGUCGGCAGAGUAACUGUUGUCGGCGUGACGGUAUCCAACCAGAAAGCCACGGCUAACUACGUGCCAGCAGCCGCGGUAAUACGUAGGUGGCAAGCGUUAUCCGGAUUUAUUGGGCGUAAAGCGAGCGCAGGCGGUUUUUUAAGUCUGAUGUGAAAGCCCUCGGCUUAACCGAGGAAGCGCAUCGGAAACUGGGAAACUUGAGUGCAGAAGAGGACAGUGGAACUCCAUGUGUAGCGGUGAAAUGCGUAGAUAUAUGGAAGAACACCAGUGGCGAAGGCGGCUGUCUGGUCUGUAACUGACGCUGAGGCUCGAAAGCAUGGGUAGCGAACAGGAUUAGAUACC